CAUCUCAGUACCUGGAGGAAAAGGAACAUCAACAGAGAUUCCGCGAGUAGUGGCGAGCGAAAGCGGAGUAGGCCAGUGGUUCAUGUGUUCUAAGUCGAACGGUCGUGGAAAGGCCGGCCAUAGCGGGUGACAGCCCGUAGACGUGUUGGAUGCAUGGAUCCUUGAGUAGGGCGGGGCACGUGAAACCCUGUCUGAACAUGGGGGGACCACCCUCCAAGCCUAAAUACUCCUUGGCGACCGAUAGUGCACAAGUACCGUGAGGGAAAGGUGAAAAGCACCCCGACGAGGGGAGUGAAAGAGACCUGAAACCGAACGCCUACAAGCAGUCGGAGCCCUGACCGCGCAAGUGGUGGGUGACGGCGUACCUUUUGUAUAAUGGGUCCGCGAGUUCGUGUUCGUGGCAAGCUUAAGCCGAUAGGUGCAGGCGCAGCGAAAGCGAGUCCGAAAUGGGCGCAUAGUCACGGGCAUGAGACCCGAAACCGAGUGAUCUAGCCAUGGCCAGGCUGAAGGUGGGGUAACACC
rnacentral:rRNA from 1 species